rnacentral:rRNA from 1 species
GACGAACGCUGGCGGCGUGCCUAAUACAUGCAAGUCGAGCGGACCAAUAGAAGCUUGCUUCUGUUGGUUAGCGGCGAACGGGUGAGUAACACGUGGGCAACCUGCCUGUAAGACUGGGAUAACUACGGGAAACCGGAGCUAAUACCGGAUAAUUCAUCCCCUCGCAUGAGGGGAUGCUGAAAGUCGGUUUACGCUGACACUUACAGAUGGGCCCGCGGCGCAUUAGCUAGUUGGUGAGGUAAUGGCUCACCAAGGCGACGAUGCGUAGCCGACCUGAGAGGGUGAUCGGCCACACUGGGACUGAGACACGGCCCAGACUCCUACGGGAGGCAGCAGUAGGGAAUCUUCCACAAUGGACGAAAGUCUGAUGGAGCAACGCCGCGUGAGCGAUGAAGGCCUUCGGGUCGUAAAGCUCUGUUGUUAGGGAAGAACAAGUAUCGGAGUAACUGCCGGUACCUUGACGGUACCUAACCAGAAAGCCACGGCUAACUACGUGCCAGCCGCCGCAGUAA